rnacentral:lncRNA from 1 species
GACGCUCCUGGUCCAUGUAAUCAGUCACCGUGUUACCGUGGUGAACCUCACCCAUGUUCCCGAUCGUUCCAGAGUAGAAGAGCAUCCGCUCGGUUGUCGUUGUUUUUCCUGAUUUAUAUUACGGUCAGUAAUGUCCUCAUCUUCGGGUUGGCCCUGCUUACACUCUAGAAGGAAGAUGGGCGAAAAAUGUCUCGAUACACAAUGUAGUCAUUUAUGAAAUGUGUGCAAUUAAUCAGCAGUGUGCGAUAAUUAUAGAUGAUGCAAUAGGUCUACUCAAGGCAGAUAUGAAAAAUUAAUACAUUAGAAGAAA